rnacentral:rRNA from 1 species
GAUGGACGCUGGCGGCGUGCCUAAUACAUGCAGGUCGAGCGAACGGACGAGAAGCUUGCUUUUCUGAUGUUAGCGGCGGACGGGUGAGUAACACGUGGAUAACCUACCUAUAAGACUGGGAUAACUUCGGGAAACCGGAGCUAAUACCGGAUAAUAUUUUGAACCGCAUGGUUCAAAAGUGAAAGACGGUCUUGCUGUCACUUAUAGAUGGAUCCGCGCUGCAUUAGCUAGUUGGUAAGGUAACGGCUUACCAAGGCAACGAUGCAUAGCCGACCUGAGAGGGUGAUCGGCCACACUGGAACUGAGACACGGUCCAGACUCCUACGGGAGGCAGCAGUAGGGAAUCUUCCGCAAUGGGCGAAAGCCUGACGGAGCAACGCCGCGUGAGUGAUGAAGGUCUUCGGAUCGUAAAACUCUGUUAUUAGGGAAGAACAUAUGUGUAAGUAACUGUGCACAUCUUGACGGUACCUAAUCAGAAAGCCACGGCUAACUACGUG